AACCAGCACCUUAAGUGGUCAGGAGGAUUAUUGGGCCUAAAGCAUCCGUAGCCUGUUCUAUAAGUUUGCGGUUAAAUCUAUACGCUCAACGUAUAGGCUGCCGUAAAUACUGUAGAACUAGGGAGUGGGAGAGGUAGACGGUACUCGAUAGGAAGGGGUAAAAUCCUUUGAUCUAUUGAUGACCACCUGUGGCGAAGGCGACACUCUGGCCUAAUACUGACGCUGAGGUGCGAAAGCGUGGGGAGCAAACCGG
rnacentral:rRNA from 1 species